rnacentral:rRNA from 1 species
GACGAACGCUGGCGGCGUGCUUAACACAUGCAAGUCGAACGGAAAGGCCCUGCUUGCCGGGUACUCGAGUGGCGAACGGGUGAGUAACACGUGGGUGAUCUGCCCUGCACUUCGGGAUAAGCCUGGGAAACUGGGUCUAAUACCGGAUAGGAGCCAUUUUUAGUGUGAUGGUUGGAAAGUUUUUUCGGUGUUGGAUGAGCUCGCGGCCUAUCAGCUUGUUGGUGGGGUAAUAGCCUACCAAGGCGGCGACGGGUAGCCGGCCUGAGAGGGUGGACGGCCACAUUGGGACUGAGAUACGGCCCAGACUCCGACGGGAGGCAGCAGUGGGGAAGAUUGCACAAGGGGCGCAAGCCUGAUGCAGCGACGCCGCGGGGGGGAUGACGGCCUUCGGGUUGUAAACUCCUUGCGCUAGGGACGAAGCUUUUUGUGACGGUACCUAGAGAAGAAGCACCGGCUAACUACGUG